UACGGGGGGGGCAAGCGUUGUUCGGAAUUACUGGGCGUAAAGGGCUCGUAGGCGGCCAACUAAGUCAGACGUGAAAUCCCUCGGCUUAACCGGGGAACUGCAUCUGAUACUGGAUGGCUUGAGAUUGGGAGAGGGAUGCGGAAUUCCAGGUGUAGCGUUGAAAUGCGUAGAUAUCUGGAGGAACACCGGUGGCGAAGGCGGCAUCCUGGACCAACACUGACGCUGAGGAGCGAAAGCCAGGGGAGCAAACGGG
rnacentral:rRNA from 1 species